rnacentral:rRNA from 1 species
GAUGAACGCUAGCGACAGGCUUAACACAUGCAAGUCGAGGGGCAGCGGGGGAUAAGCUUGCUUUUCCUGCCGGCGACCGGCGCACGGGUGAGUAACACGUAUGCAACCUGCCCCUGUCAGAGGGAUAAUCCGGAGAAAUCUGGUCUAAUAUCGCAUAAAGCGUUUGCGGGGCAUCCUGCGAGCGCCAAAGGAGUAAUCCGGACAGGGAUGGGCAUGCGGCGCAUUAGCUAGUUGGGGGGGUAACGGCCCACCAAGGCGACGAUCAGUAGGGGUUCUGAGAGGAAGGUCCCCCACAUUGGAACUGAGACACGGUCCAAACUCCUACGGGAGGCAGCAGUGAGGAAUAUUGGUCAAUGGGCGAGAGCCUGAACCAGCCAAGUAGCGUGCAGGAAGACGGCCCUAUGGGUUGUAAACUGCUUUUAUGCGGGGAUAAAGUGGGCCACGCGUGGCCUUUUGCAGGUACCGCAUGAAUAAGGACCGGCUAAUUCCGUGCCAGCAGCCG